UGGGGAAUAUUGGGCAAUGGGCGCAAGCCUGACCCAGCAACGCCGCGUGAAGGAAGAAGGCUUUCGGGUUGUAAACUUCUUUUGUCAGGGACGAGUAGAAGACGGUACCUGACGAAUAAGCCACGGCUAACUACGUGCCAGCAGCCGCGGUAAUACGUAGGUGGCAAGCGUUGUCCGGAUUUACUGGGUGUAAAGGGCGUGUAGCCGGGAGGGCAAGUCAGAUGUGAAAUCCACGGGCUCAACUCGUGAACUGCAUUUGAAACUACUCUUCUUGAGUAUCGGAGAGG
rnacentral:rRNA from 1 species